ensembl:snoRNA small nucleolar RNA SNORA2/SNORA34 family
UUGACUCUGAAUCAAGCUUACACUUUUCUGAAGCUGUGGUUUUAAGCAGUAGCCGAAAGUUGUCUUUCUCUGGUUUGUUAGCUAUUUCAGAACUUUAGCAAUGUAAAAAUCUAUUCAUUAGAAAGAAACAACU